rnacentral:misc_RNA from 1 species
GCAAACUUGGUCAUUUAGAGGAAGUAAAAGUCGUAACAAGGUUUCCGUAGGUGAACCUGCGGAAGGAUCAUUAAAGAAUUGACGAGGUUUUGAUGCCGGCAGUCUGACUGUUCUGUGCUCGCCUCACUAAUCCUUUUCCAUACACCUGUGAACAUGUGCAAGUAGGGGAAGCAAUUUCCUUACUUGUUUUACAUAUACACUCUUGAUAAUAUUGAAUAUAUCGAAUCGAAAGAUUCAUAAUCUUAAACAACUUUUAACAACGGAUCUCUUGGUUCUCGCAUCGAUGAAGAACGCAGC